UACGUAGGGGGCAAGCGUUGUCCGGAUUUAUUGGGCGUAAAGCGCUCGCAGGUGGUUCGUCGCGUCGUGCGUGAAAGACCCCGGCUCAACUGGGGGAUGUCGUGCGAUACGGGCGAACUGGAGGCCAGUAGGGGGAUGCGGAAUUCCGGGUGUAGUGGUGGAAUGCGUAGAGAUCCGGAGGAACACCAGCGGCGAAGGCGGCAUCCUGGACUGGUCCUGACACUCAGGAGCGAAAGCGUGGGGAGCGAUCCGG
rnacentral:rRNA from 1 species